UACAGAGGGGGCAAGCGUUGUUCGGAAUUACUGGGCGUAAAGGGCGUCUAGGCGGAUAGGUAAGUGGGAUGUGAAAUCCCUCGGCUCACCCGAAGGACCUGCACCCCAAACUAGCCUGUCUUGAGUAUGGGGAGAGGAUGGAGGGAAUUCCGUGGUGUAGCGGUGAAAUGCGUAGGAAUAUCAGGAGGAACACCGGUGGCGA
rnacentral:rRNA from 1 species